AUUGAACGCUGGCUGCAGGCUUAACACAUGCAAGUCGAGCGGAGAUGAGGUGCUUGCACCUUAUCUUAGCGGCGGACGGGUGAGUAAUGCUUAGGAAUCUGCCUAUUAGUGGGGGACGACAUUCCGAAAGGAAUGCUAAUACCGCAUACGUCCUACGGGAGAAAGCAGGGGAUCUUCGGACCUUGCGCUAAUAGAUGAGCCUAAGUCGGAUUAGCUAGUUGGUGGGGUAAAGGCCUACCAAGGCGACGAUCUGUAGCGGGUCUGAGAGGAUGAUCCGCCACACUGGGACUGAGACACGGCCCAGACUCCUACGGGAGGCGGCAGUGGGGAAUAUUGGACAAUGGGGGGAACCCUGAUCCAGCCAUGCCGCGUGUGUGAAGAAGGCCUUAUGGUUGUAAAGCACUUUAAGCGAGGAGGAGGCUACUGAGACUAAUACUCUUGGAUAGUGGACGUUACUCGCAGAAUAAGCACCGGCUAACUCUGUGCCAGCCGCCGCCGUAA
rnacentral:rRNA from 1 species